rnacentral:lncRNA from 1 species
GUGGAGCGGCUGAGCGAUGCGCCACUAACCGCCGUGGAAGAAAGGAGGUGGACGCGGUGGACGGCGUGUGCGGACGCACAGACAGAGCUGUGUGCUGCAACUGCUGCCAGGAAACGAGGGAUGUGCUUCCAUGAAUGUCGUGGAUGGUGCAGACGGGCGCGCGGGAGCUGCGUGCUAGCGAUUCCGCGCGGCGGGGAUCAAAGGAGCAGCGUCCGCUCGCCGUGCCGGAGACAGGACGUCCUCCCUCCGUUCUGGAAGUUAAAAAAGAAGCAAUUUGAACUCGCCCAGAUGAAAUCAGCAGAACGUGGAGAAUGGACGUAUGGCACCGAUAAAGCUUGCGAGGGAAGACGGAACGCACCGAGAGCAUUAACCCGAUCGUUAACCAUGACGGCAGCCGACGGGUUUGCGCGGGGUUGCGUGAGCCGUCUUGACCGCCAUGUGCUUCUUCCCUCUUAUAGGGCUGAAAUACAGCAUCUACUGGCAAGUACCACCUGUACACCACAGAAGAUUUGAAGCGGUGCUUUGCUCCACCCGUAGUUUCCCUGCCAUCGGUCCCUGUGGCACCGACUCUCUUCACUAGACUUCCCAGUGUUUACAUUUAUUAAUUUAUCAGACCCUUUUCUCCAAAGCAAAGAAAAUACAACGUGUUCAUUACAUUAGCAGGAAAAGACACUUAGAUGCAGACGUGUGAUUCUAAAGUGCAGUUAGUUUGUUUCUUUCCACCAUAUGAACUGGAGCUCAUCACACGAGAAGCUGCAUAAAAUUAAAAAUAUCAACGAUUCCUGAUCACCUUCCUAGUAAUUUCUUUUUUUUUUUUUGAGAUUCAUAUCAACAUUUACGUUACAUUACAGGAGUAGCUGUGUAAAGAUUUACCUGGGCAUCAUCUUAAAGUUAUAGAGCAUCAACAUUUACACCUUACAUGAAUUUAAGAGAUGAUGGGCGAAGUGAGUCUGGAAAAGGUGAGUUUUCAGACCCUUUUUAAAUGUGGACGGAGAUUCAGCAGUUCUGAGUGACAGGGGGAGGCCGUUCCACCACAACGGAGCCAGAACCGAGAACCUUUACGCUUUAGCUUUCGUGCGUGGGACCACCAAGAUGUGGAAGAGCGUAGCGGUCUGGUCGGGGUGUAGCGGAUGAUCAAGUCUUGUAAAUAGCUGGGAGCAGCUCUGUUGAUGCAUUUGUAGGCAAUAACCAGGGUCUUAAAUUUGAUUCGGGCAACUAUAGGAAGCCAGUGCAGAGAAACAAGUAGGGAAGAUGCACGCGAACGCUUCGGCAAGUCAAACACAACUCGGGCAGCGGCGUUCUGUAUCGGCUGUACAUGUUUGAUGGCAGUAGCAGGAAGGCCGGUGUUAUCACCUGAAAUCGAAUGGGGCUUUUUUUAUACUAAACAUCAGACAUUAAUGCGGGAGGUUGGCACAAUCGGGCCCCUCUGAGCUGUUCUGCUUGCAGGACUAGUUCUUUCCCAUAGCCUCAUUAAUAAGGCAUGAGGCGGAGUAUACGCAACAUGCGCUGUAGC